AGGUCUGCGUCGGGUUUGUGAUUAUGAUGAUUCGACAGCGGGGGUUUGGUCGUGGAUUUGAUAGCGCUAUUGUUGCAAAUGUCAAUGGGUUUUGGUAGUGUGAGGGCUUUCUACAAUGAUGAAGGGAUGCAUUCUUGUGCGGGGUCGAAGUUCUCAUGUGUUGGGUUGCGAUUAGGGUUAAUGGGACAGUUAAGUGAUUUCAGUGAUAUGAAAUGGGUGGGAAAUGAUUCCAUUAGGGAUUUGAAUGAUAUGGUUUUUGUAGGUUUUGGAGAUCUAUGCCAUCAGGUUCAGUGGUGGUGAGGGAUAAGGAAACGAAGAUGUAGGCAUAAGGCCUCAAUUGGGGUUGGAGGCUGUGGAUUCAGACACAGAGGCUAAAAUUCUCAUUCUCAGUGAAAGGGAAUGGCAGUGAUGGAGGUUGGCUAUGGUGAUGGGCAACGAAACAUAUUUACAAUACAGCACACACAUGAGUGUGGAUUCAUGGAAGCCUGAGGAACUUAAAGAUCAUACUCCUGACAUAUUUAAUGGGAAAAUGAAGAGCAAAAGAAGAAGAUUUGUUUGUGUUUCAUUUGUAAAUGCAUUUAUUAUAUUUGAGUUUGUAAUAAUUUAUAUCGAUCUGUAAUAAUUAAUGCAUGACAUGCAUGGUAGGAA